UUACACUCUAUGUGUGGCGGCACUUCCCCGGGGAAAUAUAUAUACAUGUUCACAUUUACAACUGUGCUCCGUGUGUUUUUUUGCAUGGGUCUGAACGCAAACUGCAGACGGGCUGAUUGAAAAUGCAAAUUCAUUCUCUGCCAGCAGGAGGCACUUUGGGAACGGCAGAAAUUUGGUUCCCCCAGUAACGGCUAAUGUGAUUCAAGCUUUUAAACAUGGGAAAUGAAUCACUUCCACUAAUUCAGUGACCACAUUUAGAUGACGGAGUGAAUGUGCAUAACCUGAAAAAUAAUGUGGUCAACUCUUUGGUGACUUGUACCUAGAGUGGUGGAAAGGGAGGGACAGCCACAUGUCUUUACGAAAAGCAAGACACCCCCUCCCGACUUCAGUCACUCGCUCCUCUUCCUGUCUAAGGAAAGGGAGGAAGAAGGAAACGGGGAUUAAAGCUUGCAUAGAAAGAGUGUGAGACUAAACUGAUGCUUUCUUCUAUCGCUUUUCUUCUUCCUUCGGCCCAAAUAAAAGGUGUGAUAACCAAGAUGGGUCCAGUUCUGACUGAGGUUAAUGUGAAGGGACCCCAUGUCUUCCAGAUGUCACAUGACACCAAGCAAGGAGAAGGUCCCGUGAUACAUCUGUUGGAAAUGCACUUCACAAGAGUUUAUCCAUGAGUAAGCAAAAGUAUAUUUUAACUCUUUAGUCCUCUUUCUAAUGUUUCAUUUUGUUCUGCCUUUAAUUUGUUACUUAAAUCAUAUUAUAAAUGAAUAUUUAAC
ensembl:lncRNA